CCUACGGGAGGCAGCAGUGGGGAAUAUUGGGCAAUGGAGGCAACUCUGACCCAGCAACGCCGCGUGAAUGAUGAAGGUCUUCGGAUUGUAAAGUUCUUUUCUAAGGGAUGAAGACAGUGACGGUACCUUAGGAAUAAGCCUCGGCUAACUACGUGCCAGCAGCCGCGGUAAUACGGAGGUGGCAAGCGUUAUCCGGAAUGACUGGGCGUAAAGGUUGCGUAGGUGGUUUGGUAAGUUAGAGGUGCAACUCCGGGGCUCAACUUCGGAACUACCACUAAAACUGUUCGACUAGAGUGCAGGUGGGGUAAGCGGAAUGCAUAGUGUAGCGGUGGAAUGCGUAGAGAUUA
rnacentral:rRNA from 1 species